CUCGUCUUCGCUCCGUCACGAGACGUUGAGCCAAAAAUUCAAAUUCUCUUGCAUCGUUUUCUUGAUUUCAUAUUUGAAUAGGAUUUUGUUAUAUUCGGCACUGUAGAUGAAACCUUUUACUUUGAAACUUUGAAACUUUUACAAUACGAAACGAAGAAAUAUGAAUGAAUAAAGUUAUACGUCUCAGUGCUAUUAUGAUUUGUCUUUCCAUUGGUGAUUUUGCGAAACAGACAAAACAUUUCAUCUACAAGCAAUAAAUUAACGUAAAGUAACGUUAGUAAUUUCCAAAUAUUAAGUGCUAAGAAUAAUACAAGAAGGCACAAAAUGAAAGGAUGUCAAGAACGAAAUCAAGAUCCUUUGGAAAGAGCAAAACGAACGCGUACUAACGCCAAAUGUAAGUUUACAAGAAAAUGCAAUGCUUUUGUGGAACUUAGUAACCGUGGAGAACAAUUUUUGGUGAUACAGGACAAAUUUAACGACGUUUAUGAAGCCUUCAAGGUAUUGGAUGCUGCGAAAGAUUCUCUCAUUGAGCUCAUUAACGAGACUGCUCCGCAUCAUACAAUGGAUGACUUGCUUCAAGACUGUGACAGUUAUAUGAAUGAUGUGGAAUCAUCGCUGGACAAAAUCAGGGGUAUGUAUGCCUCGCAUGUGUCAGAAAAUUGCUCUAAA